rnacentral:rRNA from 1 species
AAGGGGGCUAGCGUUGCUCGGAAUCACUGGGCGUAAAGCGCACGUAGGCGGCUUUUUAAGUCAGGGUGAAAUCCUGGAGCUCAACUCCAGAACUGCCUUUGAUACUGAGAAGCUUGAGUCCGGGAGAGGUGAGUGGAACUGCGAGUGUAGAGGUGAAAUUCGUAGAUAUUCGCAAGAACACCAGUGGCUAAGGCGGCUCACUGGCCCGGUACUGACGCUGAGGUGCGAAAGCGUGGGGAGCAAACAGG